rnacentral:lncRNA from 1 species
UGUGCACCACCGUGCCUGGCUAAUUUUGGGAGCUGUUAGCUGAAUUCUACACUGGCUGAUAAAAGCAUACCACCGGGAUUCAACCCACAUUCACUGCCUCUCAACCUCGCUUCCUGUUGCUGCCACUGCUUCCGGCCAGACCCUCACUGCUGACCUUCUGAUCAGUCCAGGUAACCCACAAGCUCCCUAGUGCGGCCUCCAUUAACUUUUGGUCUUCAUGACCCUCAACUGCCCGUGGGGUUCAUCCUCACCGAGUGACUUUCCAAGAG